rnacentral:rRNA from 1 species
UCAAUGCUCGCAAGAGUGAACUAGCUAACUGAAAUCAUAGUUGUGUCAACUGUGAUAAGGUAAGAGUACAAUAAUGAUAUCAUCUUACUAUUAGUGUCGUCCAAAUACUAGUGCCAGAAGACUCGGUAAGGCUAGAGACGCAAACGUUAGUCAUCUUUAACAGGCGUAAAGGGUUUGUAGGCUGCUUUAAAAAUCUAAUUAUUUAACCUUGAGCUUAUAAAAUAGGCAAAUAAUAAGAUGAAUUAAAGCUAGAAUCAAGAAGAGGUUAAAACAAAUAAUACUUAGAGGAGGGUUGACAACUGCAAAUCCUAAGUGGAAUACUCAAUGCGAAAGCUUUUUUCUAUUACUGAUUGACGCUGAUAAACUAAGGGGAGGAAAGAAAAAAGGAUUAGAGACCCUCGUAUCCCUCUCUGUCAACGAUGAAUGGUAGUCACUAUAUUAAACUAGUAGAGACGAUGUUAACACGAAAACCAUUCCGCCUUGUGAGUACGACUGCAAAGUUGAAAACAAAAAAAUUAGUCGGUUUCGGAGCAAACGAAGUGAAGCAUGUUA